UGUAUACUACUGUUGUGUCACUGGAACUGUCCUGGUGUUUUGCCACUCAUUCAGAUUCUGCUCUGUUUUGGGUUAGUGCUGUUGCUAUUGUUUUGGCUGCCGAAAAACCUCGAUGCCGCCACCUCUGCUGCCGGAAAUAGCCGCUGAGUCUUCUAUGAUGGAGUUUACUGCGAGUUGCCGUCGUUCUGGUCACCGGCUGUGAAGUUGGUGUUGCCGGAAUCCACCACUGGUGCAGCCGCUACUUGGUUCCCUCGAGUUCGAGUUGUUGAGACUGUUGCAAAAGUGGCUUGGAACCGAGGUUUUGGCUGCCGGGAUUUUGAUUGUUGAUUUUGGGUCGAGGCGAAAAGUAUUCUGUGACGCGUUUGGGCUAUGGUUUUGCGUUUUGAGGUAGGGGCGCUUUCCGAAAACUACAGUUUAUUAUUGGAAUUAUUACAUAUGGAUACUGAUGUGA